GAAUUGCUCUUCUUCUCCAAAGAUAACGAACUCAUUCGAGUGCAAAAACACAUCGGGCUCUUUCCGCUCACAAAGUUCCUUCUUUUUCCCAAACAGUAAUCGCUUAUGGCUACCUGUUUUGAUCAUUUUACUGCAAAUAAUCCUCCUC